rnacentral:snoRNA from 1 species
UGGUUAUGAUGAGGACAAUCCCUAAGCAGCCCCUUGAACUUCUCCUAAGCUGAAUAUAAAGACUUGCCUGACUUCUGUUUAAAGGCUACUAUUUCACUUCUGAUCUU